rnacentral:rRNA from 1 species
CAGCAGCCCGAGUGGUGGUCGUUUUUAUUGGUCCUAAAGCGUCCGUAGCCGGUCUAGUAAAUCCUUGGAUAAAUCGUACAGCUUAACUGUACGGCUCCCGGGGAGACUGCUAGACUUGGGACUGGGAGAGGUCGGAGGUACUCCAGGGGUAGGGGUGAAAUCUUGUAAUCCUUGGGGGACCACCAGUGGCGAAGGCGUCCGACUAGAACGGGUCCGACGGUAAGGGACGAAGCCCUGGGGCGCGAACCGGAUUAGAUACCCGAGUAGUCC